AACGGGUGAGUAACACGUGGGUGAUCUGCCUCGUACUUCGGGAUAAGCCUGGGAAACUGGGUCUAAUACCGGAUAUGACCUUCGGAUGCAUGUCUGAGGGUGGAAAGAUUUAUCGGUACGAGAUGGGCCCGCGGCCUAUCAGCUUGUUGGUGGGGUAAUGGGCUACCAAGGCGACGACGGGUAGCCGGCCUGAGAGGGCGACCGGCCACACUGGGACUGAGACACGGCCCAGACUCCUACGGGAGGCAGCAGUGGGGAAUAUUGCACAAUGGGCGAAAGCCUGAUGCAGCGACGCCGCGUGAGGGAUGACGGCCUUCGGGUUGUAAACCUCUUUCGACAGGGACGAAGCGCAAGUGACGGUACCUGUAGAAGAAGCACCGGCCAACUACGUGCCAGCAGCCGCGGUAAUACGUAGGGUGCGAGCGUUGUCCGGAAUUACUGGGCGUAAAGAGCUUGUAGGCGGUUCGUCGCGUCGUUCGUGAAAACUUGGGGCUCAACCCCAAGCUUGCGGGCGAUACGGGCGGACUAGAGUACUUCAGGGGAGACUGGAAUUCCUGGUGUAGCGGUGAAAUGCGCAGAUAUCAGGAGGAACACCGGUGGCGAAGGCGGGUCUCUGGGAAGUAACUGACGCUGAGAAGCGAAAGCGUGGGUAGCGAACAGGAUUAGAUACCCUGGUAGUCCACGCCGUAAACGGUGGGUACUAGGUGUGGGUUUCCUUCCACGGGAUCCGUGCCGUAGCUAA
rnacentral:rRNA from 1 species